rnacentral:rRNA from 1 species
AGAGUUUGAUCAUGGCUCAGGACGAACGCUGGCGGCGUGCUUAACACAUGCAAGUCGAACGAUGAACCCGCUUCGGUGGGGGAUUAGUGGCGAACGGGUGAGUAACACGUGGGCAAUCUGCCCUGCACUCUGGGACAAGCCCUGGAAACGGGGUCUAAUACCGGAUAUGACACGGGAUCGCAUGGUCUCCGUGUGGAAAGCUCCGGCGGUGCAGGAUGAGCCCGCGGCCUAUCAGCUUGUUGGUGGGGUGAUGGCCUACCAAGGCGACGACGGGUAGCCGGCCUGAGAGGGCGACCGGCCACACUGGGACUGAGACACGGCCCAGACUCCUACGGGAGGCAGCAGUGGGGAAUAUUGCACAAUGGGCGAAAGCCUGAUGCAGCGACGCCGCGUGAGGGAUGACGGCCUUCGGGUUGUAAACCUCUUUCAGCAGGGAAGAAGCGCAAGUGACGGUACCUGCAGAAGAAGCACCGGCUAACUACGUGCCAGCCGCCGCGGUAAUAC